rnacentral:rRNA from 1 species
GAUGAACGCUAGCGGCAGGCCUAACACAUGCAAGUCGAGGGAAAGGAUACCUUCGGGUCACCAAAACCGGCGCACGGGUGCGUAACGCGUAUACAAUCUGCCUUUCACAUAGGGAUAGCCCGAAGAAAUUUGGAUUAAUACCUAAUGGUAUAUAAAUACGGCAUCGUUUUUUUAUUAAAGCUACGGUGGUGAAAGAUGAGUAUGCGUUCUAUUAGCUAGUUGGUGAGGUAAUGGCUCCCCAAGGCGACGAUAGAUAGGUGUUCUGAGAGGAGUGUACCCCAGACUGGUACCGAGAUACGGACCACACUGGUACGGGACGGAGCAGUAAGGAACACUGGAGACGGGACGGUAGACUGAUCCAGCCACGCCGGGUGCAGGAUGCAGGGGCUCGGGAUUGUAAACUGCUUGUGUAAGGGAAGUAUAAGGAGUACGUGUACCUUGAUGACGGUACCUGACGAAUAAGCAACGGCUAACUACGUG